UCAGUCAAGUACACCUGUGUGGUCGGCC
rnacentral:piRNA from 1 species